rnacentral:lncRNA from 1 species
CUAUCUUAAAAGUUCAACUUGAUUAAUAUGUUGGUUCUAUAUUUCAGAAACUAUUUGAUGUUGAAUUUAUUCAUUAACACAGUAUAGAUAACUAAUUUGUAUGGCUGUAGUUUGUAUAGAGUUCAUGAAUCUUUGCUAUAUAAAGAAGUGUUAUUUGAGCAUUUCUUCUUCAAUCUUAAGCAGUAAAAUGAUGGAUGAGCUUGUAAGUACAGCUUUUGCUAUCUUGAUAGUGAUUGCGUCUAUAUUCUGCUAUUCAUGGAUAUUCAAAAAACCAAGUAAAGAAACGGCCUUGCUACCACCAGGGCCUAGAGGUUUGCCAAUUCUUGGAUAUUUACCAUUUCUGCGCACAAACUUGCACCGUCAGUUCACGGAAUUGGCUCAUCACUAUGGCCCAAUCUACCGGCUAUGGCUUGGAAAGAAACUAUGUUUAGUUAUCAAUUCUCCGAGCCUGAUUAAAGAAGUUGUUCGAGAUCAAGACACGAUUUUAGCCAACCAUGAUGCACCUGUCGCAGGAUUGAUUUCAACUUACGGCGGAAUGGAUGUUCUUUGGUCGCCCUAUGGCCCUUAUUGGCGCGAUAUGCGUAAAUUGUUCGUACGAGAAUUGCUGAGUAACAACAAUCUUGAGGCUUCCUACAACAUGCGAAAAGACGAGGUCAGAAAGGCUAUCAGAAAUGUGUACACAAAAAUUGGCACCAGCAUAGAAAUUGGGGAGUUGGCUUUUGUUACUGAAUUCAACGUUGUAAUGAACUUGUUGUGGGGCGGCACAAUUGACGGGCACAAGCGGGCCGAGUUUCGUAAAGUAGCAUCAAAAGUUGUUGAUUUGAUUGGAAAACCAAACAUUUCUGAUUUUUUUCCAGUUCUUGCCAGGUUUGACAUUCAAGGAAUAGCAAAAGAGAUGAAGAAUUGUUUGGCACAUAUUGACGGGAUUCUUGAUAACGUCAUAAAUGAACAUAUGAAGACGGAUUCUAGUGGAGGUGAAGAAGAUAACAGAAAGAACGACUUUCUGCAAAUUCUUCUAGAGCUGAAGGAGAAGAAUACCUCAAUUAACCUGAUUCAAAUAAAGGCCAUAUUGGUGGUAAUUUCUUUAUUUUUGUGCAAUUUCCUGAUUAUAAUAGCAUCAAAAUUUUCCCUCAUUUCGGUUUUCAAUUCCAUUAAUUCUUUCAAAUAUUCGCUUAUUCUUUUUUUUUAAUCAUGCUGCAUAAGUAGGUAGUACUUUUUGUGAUUUCCAGAAAAUCCUGUAAUAUUAUCGGACAAGAAAGGAUAGUAUAAUAACAAAAGUUUUAGUUUUCUUUCUUGCUGUCGAGUGCUACUGAAUUUCAAACUGAACUGACGUUGUGGACAACAGGACAUCGCUAUAGGGGGGACGGACACAACGGCAACAACAGUCGAGUGGGUAAUGACAGAGAUUUUGCGGAAUCCAGAUGUAAUAAAAACGGUGCAACAAGAAUUAACAAAUGUUGUCGGGAUAAACAAAUCAGUGGAAGAAUUCCAUGUUGCGAAACUGAAGUAUCUUGAUGCAGUUGUGAAGGAAACAUUCCGCCUACAUCCUCCACUUCCCCUCUUGGUCCCAAGAAUUUCGAGCGAAUCUUGCACCGUCGGGCGAUAUACUAUACCAAAGGGUUCUCGUGUCUUUCUGAAUACAUGGUCAGUGCAAAUGGAUCCACAGAUUUGGGAGAAUCCAUCGGAAUUUAGGCCGAAAAGAUUUUUGAACGGCGACGGUGGCAAAUUGUGGGACUAUUUGGGAAACAGUCUUGAAUAUCUUCCAUUUGGAUCAGGAAGAAGGAUAUGUCCCGGCCUUCACCUAGCAGAGAAAAUGGUAAUGUACGUCCUAGCUUCACUUCUGCAUUCAUUUGAUUGGACAAUACCGGAGGGCCAAAAUCUUGAUGUCUCAGAGACAUUUGGAAUUGUGAUGAGGAAAACUGAACCAUUAUUUGCUAUUCCUUCUCCGAGAUUGUCUAAUUUAAGUCUGUAUGCAUAAUCAUGUUAUAUGUUGAACAUUAGGCGGCUUGAUAUUUUGUUAAUCCGUAUGCCAUGUGUUCAGCUCCAAUGGUUAUAAGAGUGUACUGAUUGUGAGAAAUAAUUAAGUGGUCCUCAUUAUCGUUU